AAAUGAAGGAUUCCUAAAUAAAGAAGGAUUCCUAAUCAAUGUAGGAGUCCUAAUUGAAGAUGGAUUCCUAGACGAAUGAAGUUUCCUACUCAAGCAAGUAUUCCUACAUGAAGAAGAAGAAUUAAAGCCAAAGAAUCAACUCAAGAGAAGGAUCUUAUCCAAAACCUCAUCCAUAACCUUAUCUUAGCUUAUCUUAUCCAAACAAACCUUAUCCUAUCUUAUCUUAUCCUAAUCCUAAAUUAUCCACAUUCCAGCCACUUAGGAGGGUGUCUAACUAGAUUAGGAUGCUUAAAAUGGGAUUUCUAGAAGACCUAAUCCUUUCCUACAAAGGUGCCACACCUUAUCCCUUGUUUUUCUAGAAAUCAGCCACAAAAUAACCUUUCUAGAAGGCCUUAUCCCUUCUCCUACAAAAGUGACGCCCCAAACCUUUCUAGGACUCCUAGAAACCUGAUUAUUCCUUUCCCCCUUGGUUUCUAAAAGCCUUAGCCUUUUCCUUCAAGGAUUGUGUGUUAUUAUCCUAUACAAAUUAGGCUUUUAAAUCCUUUUCCUUUGCUACAUAGGGGCUGCGAAUUUCAGCCUAUAAAUACCACCCUUUGCUUCACCAUUUAGUCACCAUCCUCUACCAUAUUUUCACUACACCAUUCACCCAAACAUACCUUGUGUGCCGUGAGUUUGCAAGGAGAAGAAGGAAGACAACUUGGAGCCGUGCUUGCCAUUCAAGGAGCUUGGAUUGUGGAGCGUUUCUAGGUGUUUUCUAUCUUUGUUUUAAUGUUUAAAUUUAUUUAUCUUUGUUUAUUUGCGAGUAUGAGGAACUAAACCCCCCUUGGCUAGGGGAGGAUUCGAAACCAUGAUUAUGCUUGCUAUAUGAUUUGAUUACUUCUAAUUGCGUUUCAUAAGUUGUGAUUUC
rnacentral:lncRNA from 1 species